CUGUCCCGGGAUUAGGUUGUGAAUAAAAGACCUGAACUGGGAGCAGAAAUUUGCCGGAAGACAAACUGGAUUGGCAAUGAAAAGUAACAUCAUUGUACUUCCAGCAAUGAUUAGCUCUACCUUUUCUUCAGUGUGCUUUGCUUGGAACUGAUAUUGAAAAGCACUGUUGCUCUGAAUGGCAGCAGUCUCCCACAGCAUUAGAGUGGGCGACAGACCAUUCUGGCAUGUUAACAGAGAGUCUAAGUCUGAGAAAACAACUCCCAGGAGCCAAGUACUUCUCAACAUUUAUAUAGAAAAAAAUUAUUAGUGUCGGUGGCAUCAACAAGCACACGAUCUUGGCCAUUUUAUUGUAAUUUACCAUCCCCACGCUAACCCGCUUAAAUGACUCUCCACUCUGAAUGCAGGGGAGUGAAGAUGUUUGUUUUCCAUUAAUGAAUUAAUCAAAGAAUCGAAAACACA